AAUCAGAUUUGCACUACAACAGAAUAAAAAUAUUUUCUUCUUCAAGACUGGUUUGUUUCCUCUGGUGAAGAUAAAUUGUCAAGUGCUCCCACCUCUUCGAAGAAGGAAAACAAUGAAUUAGCAGAUGUAAAUACAGGCAAAUCUACUGCAGACUUGUACAUGCAAGACUAGUCCUGAAUGUCACAGGAGAAAGGCCAACAGAAACAGAUCUUCUGUGCUUCUGCUAAAAGUAACUGGAUUUAAAAGGCAUUCACUUACCUUUGAGAUGCAAGGUAUAUCAUGAAAGAGCUCACUGUCGCUUGUCAGCUUUGACACGGAUGCUGCCCAGUGGAAGGGACCCUCGUGGGAGAUGAAUACUUACAGACAAAACCAGUCCGAAUGUUUCUGACAGGGCGGCACAAAGGAUUAAAGACAGAAACAGGAAACCCGCACACCUCUGCAUCUGAAAAGAAACCGCACCAGGGUAAGCUUCAAGUCGCUCGCUGCCUGACUUCUAGCUUGGAUCCGCACAGCAGGUCUUGCAUGAAGGAUGAUAAUGAAGCUCUCCCCAGUGACGAGGCAUGCCUCAGCAUUUUAAUUAUAGCCUGUGAGAUUUCAGUUGUUUAUCUUAUUUGUGCUUAUAGCCAGUGUAUGUAUGAGCAAAACCAAAUUACGAGGCAAAGAUCCCAACGUCAUUUCCCAGUGUCAGGGAAUAUACCCUGCCAAGUCAUAUUUUUUCAGUGGGCAAAUGACCUCUUCAUCUUCACUAGAGUCAGAUGGAAAAGGAAGCCUCUUUGUUUACUCAAGCGUUUAAUCCAUCAUUUGCCCAUUAUACAUUUUGUGUCAAUCUAUCUUUAGAAUUCUAAACCUCGCUGCUU